rnacentral:pre_miRNA from 1 species
GGAUAUUUCUUUAGGACUAUGGUUUGGACAAGUCACUACUCAGAGCACAAAACAUGCUAAUUAAUUUGUGUGCACUGGAAUGUUCUCUACCUAUCUAUCGUGAGCUAUAUAUCUCUUUGGUUAUGUUCUCAUAACUUCUGUUUUUGCAAGUAAUCUUGACCAGCUUCUAGUCCAAAAUCCUGCAGAGGUUGAUAACACAUUGUAGUGACAGAAGAGUUCAGUUGCCACUUGUCCAAUCCAUAGUUUUAAAGGAAUGAACCC